GCUGGUUUUGAUGGACUUCCCACUUUUCAACCUGGCCCUCAUCCCCAGCCUCUCUUGUGCCUGCCUCUCUCAGCUGAGAGACCCCUCGUUCCAUUUUUUCUGAAUAUAAAACUGAUUUCUCUGGGGAGCUGGGUACCUGGGCAGGGACCUUCCUCUCAGUGGCCCUUCCUCUCAGGGUUCAGGGUGUGAGUUCUCAUUUCAUUCUGGGUGAGGGUGCUGCCAGGAGAGGGAUAACGUGUACCAUGGGCUGUGAGGAACCCACAGUUUGGGUUCCAGUCGUUACUGGUUUUUAUUCUAGGUGAGCAGUUAAGUAUUUGCUUGGGUUUGGAUUUCCCUGAGCCAGAUUCAUUGGGUACUUCUCUCAGCACCAGCUGCCACUAGUGAUUCAGGUGCUUAUUCUGAAGGAACUGGGCUUGAGUCCCACAGCGACGGAACACUGGUCC